UAAUACGGAGGGUGCAAGCGUUAUCCGGAUUCACUGGGUUUAAAGGGUGCGUAGGUGGGUAGGUAAGUCAGUGGUGAAAUCUCCAAGCUCAACUUGGAAACUGCCGUUGAUACUAUUUAUCUUGAAUAUAGUGGAGGUGAGCGGAAUAUGUCAUGUAGCGGUGAAAUGCUUAGAUAUGACAUAGAACAUCGAUUGCGAAGGCAGCUCGCUACACUAUUAUUGACACUGAGGCACGAAAGCGUGGGGAUCAAACAGGAUUAGAUACCCUGGUAGUCCACGCCCUAAACGAUGAUUACUCGACAUCAGCGAUACACAGUUGGUGUCUGAGCGAAAGCAUUAAGUAAUCCACCUGGGAAGUACGACCGCAAGGUUG
rnacentral:rRNA from 1 species